AGAAAAAGUGUCCUCAUGUAAGACUAACACAGCGGCAAACAGAAGAAAAAAAAGAGGAAAAUACAAGGUAAACAAAAUUGGUUCAUAAAAAGCUACAAUGAAAUUAGACACUAAACUUUGAAUAAUAUAAAUUUGCAUUAAUUAGGCAUUGGAUUAAAUGCUGGACUUGCCUGGAAU